rnacentral:rRNA from 1 species
UACAGAGGUGGCAAGCGUUGUUCGGAAUUACUGGGCGUAAAGGGCGCGUAGGCGGUCUUGUAAGUUCCGUGUGAAAUCCCUCGGCUCAACUGAGGAACCGCACGGAAAACUGCUUGGCUUGAGUUCGGGAGAGGGAAGCGGAAUUCCGGGUGUAGCGGUGAAAUGCGCAGAUAUCGGGAGGAACACCAGUGGCGAAGGCGGCACUCUGGGCCAGUAUUGACGCUGAGGAGCGAAAGCGUGGGGAGCGAACAGG